CAUAGGAAAGCUUGCAUUUAAGCGUUAGCCUUUUAAGCUAAAGAAGAAAACAAACAAUUUUCUCCAAUGA
rnacentral:tRNA from 2 species